AUCGAACGCUGGCGGCAGGCCUAAUACAUGCAAGUCGAGCGAGCGGCGGACGGGUGAGCAAUGUAUGGGGAUCUGCCCGAUAGAGGGGGAUAACUACUGGAAACGGUGGCUAAUACCGCAUACUACCGGUUGAACCCAGUUGGGUUUAUCUAGUAGGUGGGGUAAAGGCUCACAUAGGCUACGAUCUCUAGCUGGUCUGAGAGGCUGAUCGGCCACACUGUGACUGAGACACGGCCCAGACUCCUACGGGAGGCAGCAGUGGGGACUAUUGCACAAUGGGCGCAAGCCUGAUGCAGCCAUGCCGCGUGUAUGAAGAAGGCCUUAGGGUUGUAAAGUACUUUCAGCGGGGAGGCGUUACCCGCAGAGGAAGCACCGGCUAACUCCGUGCCAGCAGCCGCGGUAAUAC
rnacentral:rRNA from 1 species